rnacentral:rRNA from 1 species
GAUGAACGCUAGCGGCAGGCCUAACACAUGCAAGUCGAGGGAGAGGUUACCUUCGGGUAACCAAAACCGGCGCACGGGUGCGUAACGCGUAUACAAUCUGCCUUUCACAUAGGGAUAGCCCGAAGAAAUUUGGAUUAAUACCUAAUGGUAUAUAAGAGCGGCAUCGUUUUUAUAUUAAAGCUACUGUGGUGAAAGAUGAGUAUGCGUUCUAUUAGCUAGUUGGAGAGGUAACGGCUCCCCAAGGCGACGAUAGAUAGGGGUUCUGAGAGGGAUGUCCCCCACACUGGUACUGAGAUACGGACCAGACUCCUACGGGAGGCAGCAGUGAGGAAUAUUGGACAAUGGUCGGAAGACUGAUCCAGCCAUGCCGCGUGCAGGAUGAAGGUCCUAUGGAUUGUAAACUGCUUUUGUAGGGGAAGAAUAAGGAGUACGUGUACUUUGAUGACGGUACCUUACGAAUAAGCAUCGGCUAACUCCGUG